rnacentral:rRNA from 1 species
UACGGGAGGCAGCAGUGAGGAAUAUUGGUCAAUGGGCGCGAGCCUGAACCCGCCAAGUAGCGUGCAGGAAGACGGCCCUAUGGGUUGUAAACUGCUUUUAUACAGGGAUAAAGUGCGCCACGUGUGGUGUAUUGCAGGUACUGUAUGAAUAAGGACCGGCUAAUUCCGUGCCAGCAGCCGCGGUAAU